rnacentral:lncRNA from 1 species
GAAAAUGAAAUUUCCUAUGCCCCGAGAUUUCAGGAUUUUACACGUCUCUGUGAAUCGUUUAGGAUUAAAUAGGGAGUUCAGAGACUAUUUUUAAAAUGUGCAUGGCCUUCUGAAGGAGCUGAAGUUUUGUUCAGCAGCUCUCUUCAAGGGGACUCAAGAUCGUCCCGAGUUUCUUUACUGAACACGGUGAGUUCCUCAGAGACAGCAUUGCAGUAUCACCAGAAGACUACCAUUCUUAAGAGCUGUAUUCCCUCUUAGAAAGGCUGCUUUGGCAGACUGAGGCACAUGACUGAGACUUUUUGCCCUGAUUGCAAAGAUGUUGUGCUGCCAGUGCUGCUGGAGAGCAAACAAGUAACACCCACCCCUUUAAACUUUGAUGUCUCUAAGAAAGGAGGUAGACUGCACUGAAAAACAGAGGACACACAGGCAGCAAGAUGAACAAUGCACACGUGUACAAUGUACAUAUGUGCAUGUACUGAACAGAUAUUUGGCCCCAUGUUGACUGUUUUUCUAAGUGCAAGAACUUUUACAAAGAAAAAAAGAAGACCCUGAAGAAUGUAAUGCUACUUUAUGGAGGACAAAUCUUCCAUUUCUAGCCUGACAUGAAACUCUUCAAGGUGAACAAAGAGGGAGACAUGUCUAGAAACGCACAAAGAAGCCGAGCUAAUUAAGAGAACUCCCACUGCCUCCCUUCAUGAAAGCUGCUAUGCUUUUGAAACCCUGGAGAUGGUUUGACUGUGGAUUUGUGAGGUUAGGAGUACAGCUGGGAUGCUGAGACUGUGGGCUGGGUGGUAUGUAUAGAAUGUGUUUGAUCAGUUUCCCUGGUUGUAUUAGAAAGAGAUGGCAUAAAACAAAUGGGGUGGAAAUAGGCAGAAAGGAUGAGGAGCUCCCUCUGGGAUAGGUCUGAACUGAUUUAGAUUGUGGGAAUUCUCUGUGUGUGUGUGUGUACUCAAUGUAUUUUUCCUGGAGAUUUCAGUGAUAAUAUUUUUUCUUCUAAUCUUUAUCAAUGUUACAGAAAAUGUAUUUGAGCCUUCAGCAACAUGAGGUUCAAACCUUGCAGUUCAUUCCUUCAGAUGUUUGCAUGGCAUGCUACAGCCCUGCUUUCUGUAUGCUGACAUGCAAAUAGCUUGUCAGUCUCGUCUUGCACCAUUACUAUGAUUCCUUCCUUGGUUCCUGUCUCUUCCAGGUAUUCAACACUGUAAAAAUACUUGUCU